GCUUUUAAUACAAUUGUUUUUUUUUCAGUUUAAGUUUCAUUUGUUAAUUUGUAAAUAUAUUGUUUUAUGCAUACCAUGUGUAUUAAUUUCUUAUUGCUCCGUAAUGUCUAAUUUCUCCGUCAUUUAUUUUUUGCGUCAUUUUCUUUUUUUUUUGCACUCCGCGGCUGCCGUAGACUACUACGCCAUCAUUUAUUUACAUGACGCAUCGUCGUCGCGCCAAAACACAAUGUGAGAGGUUACUAUAGCGGCUAUGGAGAAGUUAGUCACGACACAAAAACUACCCAAAAUAGACCGUUUUUCUUGCCUACAUAACGUUAGUGCGAAGGACAACAACGACGUCGAAGGUGAGAGGCACGUCUUUGGAUGAGAAAGCUUGAUGAGGUGCAGAGAGUCUGGGCGCAAAGAAGCAGUCGCAGACGAGCCAAAAGCUGGAUAUUCGGUGGGAAAUAUGCAUAGACAGUAAAAGAAAUAUGUCAAAAAAAAUUAUUGGCGGAGCACCAUGUCGCAAAACAGACUAUCGGGACUGGCAAUUCUUUCCAUCGAGAAUGCACAAAGCCGUGAAUUAAACACCACGUUCAUCGUGGAUGAAUUUGCCGAAAGAAAGGCCUGGAGAAUGCAACUAAAAUGACAGGAGCGCCUCUCACCCCUCCGGCUGCUGCAGCGUGUUCCUCAUCGUCUUGAUCUGCUGGAAAUGGCAGGACAUAUCUGUGCUCAUGACCAUCUCGAUCACCAGCGUCCGCAGCUCCCUGUGGAAAACACAAAACAGCACAACUCAAAGCACAUGCACUCCCCCACAACAGAUCCUCCAUUCCUCGCAGGAACGAGCCCCAGCGUACCUCCAGUCGUCCUUCGGGAGGUUGACCAGGAUGUUCAUCUCAUCUUCUUGCAUGAGUCUGUAGGCUGCGCUCACGUGGUGGUUUUCCAGAACCGAGCGAUCGUUGUACAGGAUGGCCACUUCUGAUCUGUGCAGGACCAAAGAAAGAAGAGCCAAAGAUAUCUGUGUAGUACCUUUAAGGUUAGUGAAGGUUAGUUCACUCAAAAAUGACAAUUUCAUCAUCAUUUAGUUGCCUUUACAUCAUUUCAAGUCUUUCUUUCUUUUUUCCGUGGAACACAAAAGAUGUUUUUAAUGGAAGCUUAUUGUCACCAAGGGCUGUCAAGCUUCAAAAAGGACCAUAAAACAACAUAAAAGUAGAUCAUAUGACUCAUACAGUACCUUUUAAGUGUUCUGAAGUUUUGUGUGAAGAAAUGACGGAAAUUUCAAAGUGAUUUUGGCUGAAAAUACUGCACUUAGUUGUUCAAACCUGUCAGGCUGUAACCAGCGAUGUGACGCACAAGAACUAAUUCGGCAUCAUUGAUGUUAAACUUUGCAUGAUGGAUACAGUACAUACCUUUGGUAAUGAAAAGAAUUAGGGCUUUAUCAUUUAAUGUAAAUUACAUAUUUUAUUGCACCAGUUUAAAUAUUGGAAUGCACACUUUCUCUCUCUCUUUUUUUGGUAUGAAAUGGAGCAGCUUGGACAUGCAUUAGAUUUUCUCAUUCUGUGUCCCAUGCAAGAAGAAAUGAAGUUACAAAUAUUUAUUCUCUACUUCAUUAGGAAAUGAAAAUAACCUGCUGUAUAUUAUAUAUUGUUUUUAAUAGAAGCCUCUUAUGCUCAUCAAUGUUGCAUUUAUUUGAUUAAAAAAUACAGUAAAAACUUUAA